ensembl:antisense Gm12682 predicted gene 12682
CUUGUUAUCAGGCCCUUGGGAUAGUCUAUAGGUUCCCUCUCAAACUGGCACCCACACGGAGGGCUCCGGGACAGAAGUGACAAAUGAGCAUCCUCUCCUCUGCUGACCUCUGCCAAAAGCUGGAGUAACCUUUCGUGUGCCUCGCUGGAUUAGCCUAGAUUCACUUCCCUAGAUGACUGUUCUCCAACUGGAAGACCUGAGAUUAUUGCUGUUAUCAACUUUGGCCAAGGAGACUUCAUUUGCUGUGGAUGGCUGCUACUGAAGAAACUCAAAACUGGUCAAACUGAUGAGUAUAAAUGACUGUUGAAUGCUCAGCCCUAAAUGAGACAUCUCUUGUCUCAGGCAGCAUUGAAGAGAGAAUGAAGUGCUGUUGAACACUGUCCUAAGGGCAUGACAGGGUCCUGAUCUCUUCAACUCUCAACGCCUGUGAUUAUAAGCAGCAGACUCACACAAGGCUGGUCCCAUUAAUAUUCUGUUUUUUAAGACUGGGUCUCACUAUAUAGUCCUGGUCAGACUGAAAUUUGCUAUGUAGACCAGGCUGGCCUCCAUCUUAGAAGAUCUGUUGGUCUCUAUCUUCUAAGUCCUGGACUUAAAGGAUUGUAUUAUCACACCCAGGGGUGUGCACUAAGCAGUCCUCAAACUUGCAGAGCUCCACCUGCUGUACCUGUACUUGAGUGCUGGGAUUCAGAUGGCGCAGUCCUUCUCGGGCAAGGAACACGUUCCUUCGUGUUCGAGACUUCGACCAGCUUGGCCUGGUGGCUGACUUUGGGCAAGUCACGGAGUCUUCUGUAGCUAUGUAUGUGUGAAGGGGACGAGUCUCCUUGACACUCGCUGUAAAGCCGUAUUCUAGGUGUGAGCUUUGAAAGGAAAUGAUAUCGCCUUGGUUCCCACCCCUGGCGGGAUGGACCUGUGUGCAAAAACACAAAGUCCUCUGAGGAAAGCAGCUUUUGGUUUUAUGAUGAAAUCAGGGAAGUGGACUAAUUUAAUUCUUCACAAAAUGUAGGGAAAAUGUAAUCCUUAGAGUCAUUUAGGGAAAUUCCGAUGUAAAACAUCAUGUGAAUAAAUAAAACCGGGAUGGUUGUGA